GCUGUGCAGGAAGCAUGAUGCUGGCAUCUUCUCAGCUUCUGGUGAAGCCUCAGGAAGCUUCUACUCAUGCCAGAAGGCAAAGCAGGAGCAGCAGGUCACAUGGCAAGUGACUGGAAGGCAGCUGUAUUUAAAUUUCUAUAAAGAUCAGAUCCUCUAUGGACAUCUUUUACUGAGUAACAAAUCUGAAGAAAACAUGGUGAUAAGAAGAAAGAUGCUCCUCCCGCCCCACACAUGCCCAGAUAUCCAGG